GGUGGGCUAAAAAACAUCAAAGAGGGCUCGUUGCGGAGAAGCCGCCUUUUUCUGAAACACCCGGUCUCAGUUCGCAUAGCAGUCUGCAACUCGACCCCAUGAAGUCCGAGUCGCUAGUAAGCGCAGAUCGGCGGUGGUGCGGUGAAUGCCUUCGCGGGCCUUGCCUACCCCGCCAGGCACGUAAUGCGAGUUGGGAACACCGGAAUGCAUGUCUCAUGAUGGUGGGGAGGCGGAAGGCGCCCCGGGCGUAUCGAAGGUGACGAACCUAGUGGAUUUGGGUACCGUUCCCGGCCGCCUCAGUUGCACACUAGAAUAGGUAGAGCAAGCCGAACAAGAACCCGGUGUAUAAGCUGUCAUUGCCGUUGCUGCCAGGCUAGGUUAUAUGCCGGUUACUGGUCUGAUU
rnacentral:rRNA from 1 species